rnacentral:tmRNA from 9 species
GGGGGCGAAAUAGGAUCGACGUGCCUAAUAAAAAGAUUGCUUUUACUCGGGAUGAUUCCGCCGAUGGCUUGUGCCAUAUGGGUCAAAACAAAGAAACGCAAACGAUAAUAAUCGUUCUGUAGGUCGUUUAGCUUUAGCAGCUUAAUCCUACGCGGCUGGAGGGUGUGCCGGGCAACAGAAAAACCCUCACU